rnacentral:rRNA from 1 species
UACAGAGGGUGCAAGCGUUGUCCGGAAUCACUGGGCGUAAAGGGCGCGUAGGCGGCCUGAUAAGUAGGGGGUGAAAUCCUGGGGCUUAACCUCAGGGCUGCCUUCUAGACUGUCCGGCUCGAGCACAGUAGAGGCAGGUGGAAUUCCCGGUGUAGCGGUGGAAUGCGCAGAUAUCAGGAGGAACACCGGUGGCGAAGGCGGUUCUCUGGGCAUGUCCUGACGCUGAGGAGCGAAAGUGUGGGGAGCGAACAGG